CCCUGAGACCUUGAGUCUCCUGAAGGAACGUUGAAGACGACGACGUUGAUAGGUCGGGUGUGUAAGCGCAGCGAUGCGUUGAGCUAACCGAUACUAAUGAACCGUGAGGCUUAACCUUACAACGCCGAAGC
rnacentral:rRNA from 1 species